UACAGAGGUCCCAAGCGUUGUUCGGAUUUACUGGGCGUAAAGGGUGCGUAGGUGGUUGGAUAAGUCUGAUGUGAAAUCUCCGGGCUCAACCCGGAAAUGGCAUUGGAUACUAUUUGACUCGAGGAUUGGAGGGGGGACUGGAAUACUUGGUGUAGCAGUGAAAUGCGUAGAUAUUCGGAGGAACACCAGUGGCGAAGGCGGCUCACUGGUCCAUUACUGACGCUGAGGUGCGAAAGCGUGGGGAGCAAACAGG
rnacentral:rRNA from 1 species